UACGUAGGGGGCGAGCGUUGUCCGGAAUCAUUGGGCGUAAAGAGCUCGUAGGCGGUUUGUCGCGUCGUCUGUGAAAACCCACGGCUCAACUGUGGGCUUGCAGUCGAUACGGGCAGGCUAGAGUUCGGUAGGGGAGACUGGAAUUCCUGGUGUAGCGGUGAAAUGCGCAGAUAUCAGGAGGAACACCGGUGGCGAAGGCGGGUCUCUGGGCCGAUACUGACGCUGAGGAGCGAAAGCGUGGGGAGCGAACAGG
rnacentral:rRNA from 1 species